rnacentral:rRNA from 1 species
AUACGGAGGGUGCAAGCGUUAUUCGGAAUCACUGGGCGUAAAGGACGCGCAGGCGGGUUGGCAAGUCAGAUGUGAAAUCCUACCGCUUAACUGUAGAACUGCAUUUGAAACUGCUAACCUAGAGUAUGGGAGGGGGAGAUGGAAUUAGUGGUGUAGGGGUAAAAUCCGUAGAUAUCACUAGGAAUACCGAAAGCGAAGGCGAUCUCCUGGAACAUAACUGACGCUAAGGCGUGAAAGCGUGGGGAGCAAACAGGAUUAGAUACCCUUGUAGUCC